rnacentral:rRNA from 1 species
AUACGGAGGAUCCGAGCGUUAUCCGGAUUUAUUGGGUUUAAAGGGUGCGCAGGCGGCUAUUUAAGUCAGCGGUUAAAUCGUGGGGCUCAACCCCAUUCUGCCGUUGAUACUGGGUGGCUUGAUUGCGGUCGAGGUUGGCGGAAUUCGUUGUGUAGCGGUGAAAUGCAUAGAUAUGACGAAGAACACCGAUUGCGUAGGCAGCUGACCAGACCGCAAAUGACGCUCAUGCACGAAAGUGCGGGGAUCGAACAGGAUUAGAUACCCUGGUAGUCCGCACAGUAAACGAUGAACACUUGUUUUCGGCGAUAUAAUGUCGGAGGCAAAGCGAAAGCGAUAAGUAUUCCACCUGGGGAGUACGCCGGCAACGGUGAAACUCAAAUGAAUUGACGGGG